GCCUGGGUGGCUCAGUCGGUUGAGCGUCCGACUUCAGCUCAGGUCAUGAUCUCACACUCCGUGAGUUCGAGCCCCACAUCGGGCU
rnacentral:tRNA from 1 species